UCCAACUUUUUCGCCUCUUACUCUUAUGAAUCAAUGGUAGUCUUAUGGUUUGAUAUAGAAGAGAUUGUUCAUGCUUUUUUCUAGGCAGGCGAAUAGGUUCAAUAAAAAAUAUUAGCCUUUCCUUCAAGUCCUCAGUGUCCCUACAUUUUGUAUAACAAAAAUCCUUCGUAAUUGAAUCAACCAGCAUUUCUAUAUCUAGCUCUAGCUUUUUAAUCGACAUUAUUACAAUUUUUUAAAAUUUUUUCAUUCUAAGCAGGAGACAAAAUAAGUUGGUAUUAUCCAUUCCUAUUUCUUCGUCGGAACUAUCACAGUGCAAAUAAAAACCCAAAUAUUUUGAUAGUAAGAAAUCAUGUUCUCCCUUUAGAUCGGUCCUGUAUUUAGAAUCUGAUCCUUUAUAAUAGUAUGAGCCAGAUUUAAGAUCUUCAUCUACUGUAUUCACGUAUUCUUCUGUUGUUAACUCUAAAUUAUCAAGCUGCAAAACAAAGAAUUUUAUUGGUAAGAUCCAAGGAUUCAUCUUAUAUGCACAAUAAAAUUUGCUUAAUUUUGAAAAGAACCAAAAUCCGGGAAUAAGGAAGUUAUUCUUCGGUAUAGAAGUCUUUUUCCUUUUUACAUUCAUUCCCAUCCAAUUGAAAUACUUUCUAUCC